GACGAACGCUGGCGGCGUGCUUAACACAUGCAAGUCGAACGGAAAGGCCCUGCUUUUGUGGGGUGCUCGAGUGGCGAACGGGUGAGUAACACGUGAGUAACCUGCCCUUUACUUUUGGAUAACUUCAGGAAACUGGGGCUAAUACCGGAUAGGAACUCCUUCUUCCUGGUGGGGGUUGGAAAGGUUCGGCGGUUGGGGAUGGACUCGCGGCUUAUCAGCUUGUUGGUGGGGUAGUGGCUUACCAAGGCUUUGACGGGUAGCCGGCCUGAGAGGGUGACCGGCCACAUUGGGACUGAGAUACGGCCCAGACUCCUACGGGAGGCAGCAGUGGGGAAUAUUGCACAAUGGGCGGAAGCCUGAUGCAGCAACGCCGCGUGCGGGAUGACGGCCUUCGGGUUGUAAACCGCUUUCGCCUGUGACGAAGCGUGAGUGACGGUAAUGGGUAAAGAAGCACCGGCUAACUACGUG
rnacentral:rRNA from 1 species